rnacentral:rRNA from 1 species
GUGUUACAAUGGCAGGUACAGAGGGAUGCUACCGGGCGACCGGAUGCGGAUCUCGAAAGCCUGUCCCAGUUCGGACUGGAGUCUGCAACCCGACUCCACGAAGUUGGAUUCGCUAGUAAUCGCGCAUCAGCCAUGGCGCGGUGAAUACGUUCCCGGGCCUUGUACACACCGCCCGUCAAGCCAUGGGAGCCGGGGGCGCCUGAAGUCCGGGACCGCGAGGACCGGCCUAGGGCGAAACUGGUAACUGGGGCUAAGUCGUAACAAGGUACC